CCCCGUGCUCACAGCACGCUGGAACCACCCCAUCCCAUGCCGAACUGGGUCGUGAAACAGCGUUGCGCCAAUGGUACUUGGAUGGCAGCAUCCCGGAAGAGUAGGUCGGCGCGGGGG
rnacentral:rRNA from 1 species